GUUCCUCCAAGGAGUCUCUAGCAACCCACUGGCGCUCUCCACAUAGCCCGGCCGGUUCCUUUGGUCUUCAAGGCUGAGUGGGGAGAUCAGCGGGUGGGGACUUCUGGGCUGGGUCUGGAGGGGUAGCGGCCCUGGCAGCCGCCUCUGUGGAUGGGAAAGCAGAGAGGAGAGGAAAGCCUUUCUUAUCUCAGUGCUCCCAGGCCAGAGCCCAAGGUUCAAGUGCCUCAGGCCCAGUCCCCUUGACUUCUGAUUGGGAAUUGAAUUUUAUACCACGGAUUUUAUAGCAUUUUUUAUAUAACUCAAGAUUGUCUGAGCUGGAAAGACCUUGGAGAUCAACCAGUACCUGCCCCCACCCCUUUCACAGUUAGGUAAGAUGGAGUCCAGGAACUGAAAGUAUCACACACCAGGUAGGAGCAGUACUAGGACUAGAAUAAAAACCUCAACUCCCAGUUCAGUCUUCUUUGCACUACACCACAUGGCCUCCCCAUCUCUGGUAAGUUACAUUUCUUUUACGGUUAGGCCUGCCGAAGGAUGGCGUGUGCAGCUGGGCUCUGCAGGCCCUCCCAGUGCAAUUGUGGGCUCCUGGGAGUGGCAAAGAGCAGCACACUCCUGGAACAAGUAUUUCAACAGGGCAGUUCUGCCACCAUUGGCUUCAGCUGGAGGGUGCCAGCAGCAGCUUUCCUGACCAUAACUGCAGAAGUAGGGCUGCCUGCCACCUAGCCCAAGGCCUCCCUGCUGAGCAAAGGCUCUGGCAUUGUUUUGUUGAUGCCACCAGGGGUUCAGGAAAUACUGCAUGGGCUGUCACUCGUCUGAAAAGUGAACUAGCAUGUUUGAACCUCCAGAUCCAGAAGGACUGCUCUGCCGCCUUUGCUACUCUAUUCAGAGACAGGCAGACUGGGGCAACUAUCAUAGUCAUCCACACCCUCUGCCGAAGUUCAGGUAAGCCAGGUGGAGAGCAGGGUGAGAGUGGUUUUUGCUCUCCAUAGGCAGGGAGAGGCCUUAGGAGGGCAGCAGUGGAUGUCUUCAUUGAGAAGCAGCCCCAAGCACUCCACUGGUUCUCAAAAGUAUAGCCAACAGAAAUUAGGAAGUUAGUAGAAAUGCAAAUUAUUGGGCGGCACCUUAUGGAUCAGAAACUGGCGUGGAGCCUAGGAAUCUGUUUUGCUAAGCCCUCCAGUGGUCACGAGGCACGCUGAAGUUCUGAGCACCAGUGAACUACGCAGUGGCACUGUAGUCAUCACUACUUUGCAGCCUCUUGAGUUAAGUCAGGAGAUGAGGUGGUUCUCAUCUCUAGGUGCCUCCUCCUUGCCUUGGGAGUCUGAAC
rnacentral:lncRNA from 1 species